GGAGCAGCGAAGCCCACAGGCAGCAGAGCACACAGACCUGGGAGGGGUGCAGAGGUGGCAUCAGCGCUAUGAGGGCGUGCAGGGGAAAGCUGAUGGGAGGGAAAGGGCAGGAGUUACGGCUGCCUCUGGUGCUGAACGGUGGACACUGUGAAUCAAGACCAAAUUCGUGACAAACUCACACAUUUUUAAAAGAAGCAAAUCAGCAACUGCCAAGUCCAAAGGAGCUGGCCAAAGAUAAGACCAAGGUGCGGGUGUGUAGAAGAGAUGUCCGUGCACAGGUGUGCUUCCGCGUGGCCAUCCAAUUGUGGACAUGGUGAUGGUGCACUGAGCCCCAGAGAGCCUGCCAAACAUUUCCCAUUCAGGAUGCCUUUGGGAUCUCAGUAAUGCUUUGCAGUGCCCCUAAACUAAAAGAAAUAACUAGUAGUUCUGUUAAUACAUAGUUAGGUCCAAACAACUCAACACCUGGUAUCUGACAGAUGCCACUGUUGCCACUUUGAAAUUUUUAAAAUAUUCUUUGGCAGUUCUGUGAGCUUGCUGCAGUGUCCUAGCGGCAUAUCAGUGCAAAAUUUGAGAACCACAAACUGUGGAUUAGGAACCCUGGUUGAGUACGGCACCCCUUAC
rnacentral:lncRNA from 10 species